rnacentral:rRNA from 1 species
GACAACCUACGGGGCGCAGCAGUGGGGAAUAUUGCACAAUGGGGGGAACCCUGAUGCAGCGACGCCGCGUGGGUGAAGGAGUAUUUCGGUAUGUAAAGCCCUAUCAGCAGGGAAGAACAAUGACGGUACCUGACUAAGAAGCACCGGCUAAAUACGUGCCAGCAGCCGCGGUAAUACGUAUGGUGCAAGCGUUAUCCGGAUUUACUGGGUGUAAAGGGAGCGCAGGCGGCGCGUUAAGCCUGGUGUGAACGCCCGCGGCCCACCCGCGUGACUGCAUUGGUAACUGGCGCGCUGGAGUGCCGGAG